GGAAUGGAGGAAAAUACACAGGUACAAGAGGAAAAAGAAACAAAGGAAAAAACAGUAGUUUCUGAAAGGGGUAAAAAAAGACUAGGUACAAAUCAAACAAACAUCUCCAUAGGAGGAGUAAUUAUAUGUUGGCUGGCCAUAAGGGUGAAAUUCAGUAGCCUUCUGGCUUGUAGGCGAUGAAACUGAUGCACUGCACUUGACGAACGUUAUCGAAUCCGAUAAUACGGAUCCAGGCCUGUGGGUAAGCCUUCUUGGCCUCUUGGACCUCAUUCAACACCUGGGUAGCGUCAGUGCACCCAAACAUGGGCAACUUCCACAUUGUCCAGUACCUUCCAUCGUAGUAUCCUGGUGACCUGUGGUGCUCACGGUACACGAAUCCGUGCU
rnacentral:lncRNA from 1 species